GUGAUUGUGGGGCAGAAACAGUGGAGAGGACAUCAAGGACCGAUGAUAAUCCAGGGAGACGGUUCAAAUCUUGCUAUAGGAUGAAAUGGAAUGGGGGUUGUAACUAUUUCCAAUGGAUUGACCCCCCUAUGUGUGAAAGGUCAAAGAUGGUGAUACCUGGUUUGCUAAGAAGAGUACGUAAGUUUGAUGGUGAUCUGGGCAGAUAUUAUGAAUAUGAAGAUAGACAUGAGUCUUGCUUUGAACCUAGUGUGGAGCCUUUUCAAUGUCAAAAUUGUGGCUAUAUGAAUGGAAGUUUGGAUGGAAGAGUUCAUGCAAGUUCCUGGUUGGUAAAGGGAAAUGUGAGGAAGAUGAUGUUGUUUUUGUUUUUUUUUUGUAAUUGUGUAUUGGCUGAAAAAAAUUAUGUAAUGUUCGACUUCCCUGUUUAUUGUAUUUAGUGUUGCUUUCAAGCAUAAUAAAAAUGAUGUAUUUUAUUUA